rnacentral:rRNA from 1 species
AAUCAACGCUGGCGGCGUGCCUAACACAUGCAAGUCGCACGAGAAAGCGGGCUUCGGCCUGCGAGUAAAGUGGCGCACGGGUGAGUAACACGUGAAUCAUCUACCUCCGAGUGGGGAAUAACCUAGAGAAAUCUGGGCUAAUACCGCAUAACACUUACGAGUCAAAGCAGCAAUGCGCUUGGAGAGGAGUUCGCGGCAGAUUAGUUAGUUGGCAGGGUAAUGGUCUACCAAGACGAUGAUCUGUAUCCGGCCUGAGAGGGCGCACGGACACACUGGAACUGAAACACGGUCCAGACUCCUACGGGAGGCAGCAGUGGGGAAUUUUGCGCAAUGGGGGAAACCCUGACGCAGCAACGCCGCGUGGAGGAUGAAAUCCCUUGGGAUGUAAACUCCUUUCGAUCGGGACGAUUAUGACGGUACCGGAAGAAGAAGCCCCGGCUAACUUCGUGCCAGCAGCCGCGGUAACAC